UCCAACCAUCUCAUCCUCUGUUGUUUUUAGGAACAGAUUUUAUGAUUGGAUGUUUUUAGGAACAGAUUUAUGAUCUCAAUCCUUGCAACUCCUCCUAUCUAGAGAAGCCCUAAAUCUCUUCAUGGUGAUAUCAGAUCCUCAUGA